AGUGAACGCUGGCGGUAGGCCUAACACAUGCAAGUCGAACGGCAGCACAGUAAGAGCUUGCUCUUACGGGUGGCGAGUGGCGGACGGGUGAGGAAUACAUCGGAAUCUACUUUUUCGUGGGGGAUAACGUAGGGAAACUUACGCUAAUACCGCAUACGACCUACGGGUGAAAGCAGGGGAUCUUCGGACCUUGCGCGAUUGAAUGAGCCGGUGUCGGAUUAGCUAGUUGGCGGGGUAAAGGCCCACCAAGGCGACGAUCCGUAGCUGGUCUGAGAGGAUGAUCAGCCACACUGGAACUGAGACAAGGUCCAGACUCCUACGGGAGGCAGCAGUGGGGAAUAUUGGACAAUGGGCGCAAGCCUGAUCCAGCCAUACCGCGUGGGUGAAGAAGGCCUUCGGGUUGUAAAGCCCUUUUGUUGGGAAAGAAAAGCAGCAGGUUAAUACCCCGCUGUUCUGACGGUACCCAAGGAAUAAGCACCGGCUAACUUCGUG
rnacentral:rRNA from 1 species